GUGGGUAGUUUGACUGGGGCGGUCUCCUCCCAAAGCGUAACGGAGGAGCACGAAGGUUAGCUAAUCCUGGUCGGACAUCAGGAGGUUAGUGCAAUGGCAUAAGCUAGCUUGACUGCGAGCGUGACGGCGCGAGCAGGUGCGAAAGCAGGUCAUAGUGAUCCGGUGGUUCUGAAUGGAAGGGCCAUCGCUCAACGGAUAAAAGGUACUCCGGGGAUAACAGGCUGAUACCGCCCAAGAGUUCAUAUCGACGGCGGUGUUUGGCACCUCGAUGUCGGCUCAUCACAUCCUGGGGCUGAAGUAGGUCCCAAGGGUAUGGCUGUUCGCCAUUUAAAGUGGUACGCGAGCUGGGUUUAGAACGUCGUGAGACAGUUCG
rnacentral:rRNA from 1 species